GACGAACGCUGGCGGCGUGCUUAACACAUGCAAGUCGAACGGAAAGGCCCUGCUUUUGUGGGGUGCUCGAGUGGCGAACGGGUGAGUAACACGUGAGUAACCUGCCCUUGACUUUGGGAUAACUUCAGGAAACUGGGGCUAAUACCGGAUAGGAGCUCCUGCUGCAUUGUGGUGGUUGGAAAGUUUCGGCGGUUGGGGAUGGACUCGCGGCUUAUCAGCUUGUUGGUGGGGUAGUGGCUUACCAAGGCUUUGACGGGUAGCCGGCAUGAGAGGGUGACCGGCGACAUUGGGACUGAGAUACGGCGCAGACUGCUACGGGAGGAAGCAGUGGGGAAUAUUGCACAAUGGGCGGAAGCAUGAUGCAGAAACGCCGCGUGCGGGAUGACGGCCUUCGGGUUGUAAACCGCUUUAGCAUGUGACGAAGAGUGAGUGACGGUAAUGGGUAAAGAAGCACCGGCUAACUACGUG
rnacentral:rRNA from 1 species